UGGUCACUACGAGGGUCGAACUCGCGACCUUGGCGUUAUUAGCACCACGCUCUAACCAACUGAGCUAAGCGACC
rnacentral:tRNA from 1 species